UACGAAGGGAGCUAGCGUUGUUCGGAAUUACUGGGCGUAAAGGGCGCGUAGGCGGUUUAACAAGUUUGGUGUGAAAGCCCUGGGCUUAACCUAGGAACUGCAUUGAAUACUGUUAGACUAGAGACCGAGAGAGGAAGAUGGAAUUGCGAGUGUAGAGGUGAAAUUCGUAGAUAUUCGCAAGAACACCAGUGGCGAAGGCGAUCUUCUGGCUCGGUACUGACGCUAAGGCGCGAAAGCGUGGGGAGCAAACAGG
rnacentral:rRNA from 1 species